GGUAGGGCCUCCGGACCUGGUGGCCGGCCCGGUCUUCAAAACCGGUGAGGGGCGCCGAAAGGCGUCCCUGGCGAGUUCGAUUCCCGUGCCCUACCGCCA
rnacentral:tRNA from 1 species